GGAGAGGUGCUGGAGUGGUCUAUCAGGCACGCCUGGAGAGCGUGAGUCGGGGUAACCCGACCGUGGGUUCGAAUCCCACCCUCUCCG
rnacentral:tRNA from 1 species